GCUUAAAUUGUGUAAGAUAAUAAUUUGAUCUUUAUAAGUAAUAUGCUCAAGAAUAAUGAUCCUAGCAACAUUUUCUAUUUGCACUCAGCUUAUCAGAAAUAGUUAGUUUUCCAUAAUGUUACAGAAAAUUAAUUUGUUCCCAUGUAUGCAUGGUUGGACUUGCUAUGUGAUGCUUUUUUCUCUUCAAUGUUUGUGCAGUGAAGGCUUUUCCCAAAAAUGAUCCGGCGAAGCCUUGCCGAUUGACUGCAUUCCUGGGAUACAAAGCUGGGAUGACUCAUAUUGUCAGAGAAGUUGAAAAACCAGGGUCAAGUGAGUUGCUUCACUCCUAUCUAUGUUUCCUUUGGUAAAGGGAUAUUCCUGUCAUAUGGUAACAUUAACUUGCUAAAAGUAAUAUCAAAACAUACAAGAAUAUAACAGGACACUUGCGUCUGUAAAUAUUUCGUUUUAUGGGAUUCUUAUUUCUCUUUUCUGUAUAACUUGUGUUUGAAAAUAGGAUUACAUCAAGUAUUCCUUUUACUUUUUAUUUAUUCUUUAAUGGUAAAUGACCAAAUUAAGGGAACUUUUUCAUAUCAUGAAUUUGAAUUAAAUUGCAUAGGAGUCCUUGCUGAUCAAUUAAGUCAGCUUAUGAUUAGAUAUUAUUGUGUUGUGGUAUUUAUUUCUUUCUAGCUCCACAUUUAUUCCUUCUCUUGGUUAUUUUUAGUAUUACUUGAAACGUGGUACGUUUCGGUACAUAGUAUGAAUACAGCUACGUGGUACACUAUAUAGUUAAAAAGAGAUACGCUAGGGUAUCUUUAUAUAAGUUUUUAUAUUUGGGAAUUAUCUUAGAAUCUAAACGUAAUAAACCUAAGCUUUAUAGAAGAUUUUUAGUUGAAUCACAAGUUGAUUGUUUUAUAAAUAUUUUAGUACAAAUGUAAUGUUUGUACGUUUAAUUUAGUGUACUGGUACAUAAGAGUACCAUGUUUGGGUAUGCAAGUACCAAUACGCAGUUCGCUAGGUUUAUGUGAGUAUCUAGUAACUCUGGUUAUUCCCUUCCACAAUGUCAUCGGUCUCCACAAAAGAGAAGCAGGCCAAUUUUCGAUUUGCAAAACACUUAAAAGGGAAACUAAAUAAUUUUAAAGUGAUGGAAAUAUGUACUUUCAAAAUUGAUGUGUUGCAUUAUAGGUGUUCUAUCUAUUGUUUAUGAAUUUGUCAAAAUUGUUGUUACUCAGAACUCCCCAAGAAAGAGUUAGGCUGUAACAAUUAUAGAAGCACUGCCCAUGAUUGUUGUUGGGGUUGUUGGUUAUGUCAAAACACCAUGUGGCCUCCGUUGUCUGAAUACUGUUUGGGCCCAACAUCUUAAUGAGGAUGUGAAGAGGAGAUUCUACAAGAAUUGGUGCAAGUCCAAGAAGAAGGCUUUCUGCUAGUGUUCAAAGAAGUACGAGAGUGAAGAAGGCAUUCAGUCACAGCUGGAGAAAUGCUCACAAACAGGUGCUCUAUCUUGUAGUUUUCAUCUAUCAUUCCAGCAGUUCUACUUUAUUGUGUAUAUUUAAUGUUUUCAAAUCUGUAGAUUCAGAAGAUGAAAGGGCUAAAGCAGAAGAAGGCUCACCUGAUGGAGAUACAAGUGAAUGGUGAAG
rnacentral:lncRNA from 1 species